GGUGAGGUUCACUCUUGCCGAUGUGUUCCCCGUCUAACACUACGUUCUUCCGUAGGUGGGGUUCACUUUUGAGUACGUCCCUCGUCUAACACUACGUUUCCGUAGGUGAGGUUCACUCUUGCCGAUGUGUUCCCCGUCUAACACUACGUUCUUCCGUAGGUGGGGUUCACUCUUGAGUACGUCCCUCGUCUAACACUACGUUUCCGUAGGUGAGGUUCACUCUUUGCUUUGGGUGGGAUACGCAUCCUGAUUCUGUUACCAUUAAGACUUUCUCUAUCCGCGUUCUUCCGCAGGUAGAGUUAAUUUGGCGUCCUACUUUGUUACUGCGUCCAGUAAUAGUAGGAGUUCAAAUAUCUUUAUAUGGCUCAGCUCAUUUUGCUGUUGUAUCCCCGUCCGGGUUGUGGACUUCCACGAUUCCUUAGGAGCAUUUUGUGUUACACCCUCCUGUCUUGGUGUGCCUCUGCAACUCCAACUUGUCUGGGUUCUUUUUUCUGCAUCCCUUUUGUGUGGGAGAAAAAGUCGAUCCCUUGUUGAAUUUCCUCGAUUUUCGCUAAAUGUCGAUCUCUUGUUGAAGUUGGUCGACUUUUGUCAAAAAGUCGAUUCCUGGUGCUUUAGGUCAAAAGUCGAUGCCUUGCGUAAAAAGUCGAUUUUGCCAAUUUUUGUCCUUUUGUGCUGUCCUAGGGUCUAUAAAUAGGACCCCUAGGUUCUCCUUUUCCUUCAUCCAUCCAUGGCUCUUCUUGUGAGUCUCUUUGCUGAUUUUAUUCAGGGAGAGAUUGAGGAGCUGGAUCGAAUUUUGAAUAUUUUGGAUCCUCGGUCGUCAACCUUGGAUCUUCCUUCUCUGCGCCAGCUUAUUGUUGAGCGGCAGAGUGUUGCUGUUGCUGCUCGGGAGUCCCUUUUCGAAGAAUGGUCUGGUUGCGAUCUUCCGCCUGCCUCUUCUUCUGCUAUUCCUCCCCGUGGCCGACGUCGG
rnacentral:lncRNA from 1 species